UACGUAGGGGGCAAGCGUUGUCCGGAAUCAUUGGGCGUAAAGCGCACGUAGGCGGAUUUGUAAGUCAGGGGUGAAAUCCCGGGGCUCAACCUCGGAACUGCCUUUGAUACUGGCAAUCUAGAGUCCGGAAGAGGUUAGUGGAAUUCCCAGUGUAGAGGUGAAAUUCGUAGAUAUUGGGAAGAACACCAGUGGCGAAGGCGGCUAACUGGUCCGGUACUGACGCUGAGGUGCGAAAGCGUGGGGAGCAAACAGG
rnacentral:rRNA from 1 species